ACAAACACUCCAUAACAGAAAUACUCACAGGUCCCCACAAACACGCCAUAACAGAAACACUCACAGGUCCUCACAAACACUCCAUAACAGAAACACUCACAGGUCCUCACAAACACUAUAACAGAAACACUCACAGGUCCUCACAAACACUCUAUAACAGAAACACUCACAGGUCCUCACAAACACUCCAUAACAGAAACACUCACAGGUCCUCACAAACACUCGAUAACAGAAACAC